GAUGAACGCUGGCGGCGUGCCUAAUACAUGCAAGUCGAGCGAACAGACGAGGAGCUUGCUCCUCUGACGUUAGCGGCGGACGGGUGAGUAACACGUGGAUAACCUACCUAUAAGACUGGGAUAACUUCGGGAAACCGGAGCUAAUACCGGAUAAUAUAUUGAACCGCAUGGUUCAAUAGUGAAAGACGGUUUUGCUGUCACUUAUAGAUGGAUCCGCGCCGCAUUAGCUAGUUGGUAAGGUAACGGCUUACCAAGGCAACGAUGCGUAGCCGACCUGAGAGGGUGAUCGGCCACACUGGAACUGAGACACGGUCCAGACUCCUACGGGAGGCAGCAGUAGGGAAUCUUCCGCAAUGGGCGAAAGCCUGACGGAGCAACGCCGCGUGAGUGAUGAAGGUCUUCGGAUCGUAAAACUCUGUUAUUAGGGAAGAACAAAUGUGUAAGUAACUAUGCACGCCUUGACGGUACCUAAUCAGAAAGCCACGGCUAACUACG
rnacentral:rRNA from 1 species